GCAGCUUAGUGGUAGAGGGCUUGCUUAGUAUGUGUGAGGUUCUGGGUUCAAUCCCCAGUACA
rnacentral:tRNA from 1 species